AAAGGGCUGAUAGGCUUUCCCCCUUUUCUCUCUCUAGAAUUCAUCUCAAAUUCUUGUGGAAUUAAUGAAUUAAUCCUUUUACGUCCUCUUUUCCUUGGAGGUUUGUUUUGUGAAUCUUGGAGGAAGCUUGGCUGUGAAGUUGGAGGCUUGUUUGAGGAUCUAACUCCAACUCUAGCUUAAGUCUAGCUGGAUUUAAAGUUCUUUGGAAGGGUGCUAAGAGGCUAGAAGAUAACUUCAUUCGGGCAAACGAAGGAAUUCGAGGAGUAUCUGAUGAGUUUAACCUCAUCGAAAUGAGUGAACUCCCCCUACGUCUUUCUUGAUAUUAUAAAGUUGAAAUUCUUGCAUAUUUAUGUUGAAAAUAUCAUGAAUGGAUUUGUGAAUGCAUAAAACAUACAUAUUACAUAGGAUAAAGUUGAACCUUUAUGUAGUAAAGAAAGGGUUAUGAAACUUGCUUAGCAUACUUGGAUAACUUGCUUGUUUAGCAUGUAUUACAUAAUAAUUGUAUACUCUAUGUAGUGGAGGCCUAUGUAAAAAUACAUGACAUAUGCUAUGAUUUUGUGAACACCUUAGUGGAUCAUUGACUAUGACUUUAACAAACCACCUCCUUAUGUUAUAGGGAGUAGUGAAAAGGCUAUAUGUGGAUAUACGGGUAUAGUCCGUUAGAAUCAUCAAUAUGAUAUAAAUCAUUUAAUUACAUACUUAAGUCAUAUUAUUUAUUGGUAGAAAUAUGUCACGAAGUAAUUGAGAAUGAAAUAUGACUUUUAUGUUAGUCGCCGACUUUGCGUCGAGAUUGAGAUUCCAUGUUGAACACUAUGCUAUUGAUCACGCUUGCUUGUCAUUGUGUUCAUUCGCACAAGCUUGUGAGGGUCGCUCCCUACAAGCCGACAAUCCGGAGUUAGCCUUGCGACGACAGAUCACCCAUGCGGGACUGAGGACCGAAGUGGAUUGCCGUGGGGAGUGUUUGACUACCACGGGGCCAUUAGGCACGGCACGAGUCGGGACUUUACCAUGUAGCCUUUCGCAGCGGGAAAGAUUAGGGUUCGUUACAAGGAGUCAGUGAUUAACUAGAGCCUCCUCGAUAUUUUGAUAGAUGGACCCGUAGAAGCCUUCUUUAGUUUAGUUCAAAGUUGUAUUUUUGUACUUUACCGGAAACCUCCUAGUAUGUAUGUUGUACAUACGGUUUGACGCUUGUAGUCUAUGUGAUGUAUUUAGUUUGGGUUUACCUAUCUAAUUGAGUUACGCUUGUAGUCUAUGUGAUGUAUUUAGUUUGGGUUUACCUAUCUAAUUGAGUUAUA